GUGGGGAAUAUUGGACAAUGGGCGCAAGCCUGAUCCAGCCAUGCCGCGUGUGUGAAGAAGGCCUUCGGGUUGUAAAGCACUUUUGUUGGGGAAGAAACCGGCCGGACUAAUACUCCGGUUGAAUGACGGUACCCAAAGAAUAAGCACCGGCUAACUUCGUGCCAGCAGCCGCGGUAAUACGAAGGGUGCAAGCGUUACUCGGAAUUACUGGGCGUAAAGCGUGCGUAGGCGGUUUGUUAAGUCUGCUGUGAAAGCCCUGGGCUCAACCUGGGAACUGCAGUGGAUACUGGCAAGCUAGAGUGUGUCAGAGGAUGGUGGAAUUCCCGGUGUAGCGGUGAAAUGCGUAGAGAUCGGGAGGAACACCAGUGGCGAAGGCGGCCAUCUGGGACAACACUGACGCUGAGGCACGAAAGCGUGGGGAGCAAAC
rnacentral:rRNA from 1 species